GUUUCACUCAUGAGUACGCGCCAAGAUUUCUUAAAACGAUUGUUGUCCAAACUAUACUAUCGCCAAAAAGUUGAUGCGGCCCUGCCCAGGUAUGUUUUUCCGAUACUUUAUAAACAGCAGCCCUUAAUUCCGAUGUCUGAAUUGCUUGGAAAUAUUGGGGUGCAAUUUUGAAAUCUAAUUAACCAACUUAACCAUAAAACACGGGUACUCAGCUUCAAAUCCACGCAUUUUACCUGGAAAAGGGUUGCUUUCAAGUUUCUUUUAACCCUCCACGUCAAGGGCACUGCUGAAAAAUAGAGUCUUUGGCAGGUACUACAGAUGCUGAUGUCGCGUAGCAAUACGUUUCCCUGCUGCGAGCAAAACUAUAAAAAGGUCGCUGGUUGCCUCGCUCGUUACAGUUAUCUGGUGUUCGUUGCAGCGAUUCGUCAUACAAAUUGUGUACGUGAAUCUAGGCAGCAGUAAAGGUGUGUGUGUGUGUGUAUACCACAUAAAUUUUCUUUAAUUACUUGCAUAUACAAAUUAAAAAAAAAAAACAUUAAAAUGGUUGCAUACUACGACGAAUGCGACGCUGCAGCAAAUCCCAAAACAUUAACUGAUUGGGUGCGCAACUUUCGUUUAAAACGCGUUCAAAUGCGUCGCAAAUUACGAGGUGCUGGCAGCGACCUGCGCGUAAACGCCAUUUUGUCGACGGCUCUACUCCACGCUGAGCACGAGCUGCGUAGAAAGCAACAGGAAAGAUUUAGUCGAUGGCUAGAUAUCCAAACAAAGUUUGUUCCACAUGGUAAAACCCAUUGUGGUAGUGACGCUGAUUCCGAAGCCAAUGCCAAAAUAGUGGCUAAAGCAGAAGAGUGUGAACGGCGUGAAAUCGAAAACAAUUUGUGGAGGAGUGAGCUAAGUGGCCUCGACAAUUUUAUGCGUAGCCUAAGUAGCACCAACAACAACGCCAGCAACAACGGAACCCGCAGCAGCAGCUACAGGAACAACAACAACCACCAACACAACUGUGCUGCCAUUGCAGUCAGCAGUUAGAAAGAGACAAAUAUAUGGCAGUCAUAUUUGUGUGUAUACAUACAUGCAUGCAAUGGAAGAAAAGAAUGGCACGAUGUUCGAGAUUCAUCUGUCGAAAUAUUUUUUUCUAUGUUGCUUUAAACUUAUUUUUUCAUUUGUUACAUUAGUUUUAUUACGAAACCCCAAUUUCUCAUUUGCAGUCGCAAUCAUGUGCAAGGCUGUUAUAGAUUGUAAUGAAAUAAUGAAGGAUUGCAAGAGUGUGGGAAGACGAUGAGCAAACGGCCUUCAAUUCACUGAAAUGGUGUGAGUCAUUACCGCUGCUUCAAUGAAAUCCAUGCUGAACGCCACCAGAAAGAGGCUUUGGUUCAGGAUUCACGCUCGGUUUGUAAAUCAGUAUACUAUUACCACCUAUUUAAGUUAUGUAGAUCCAUACUUUCUAAUGAAACUGAGAGGCGUGAACAUUAUACACGAGUUGAUAGGCGAAACUAAACGAACGACAUGAAAUUUCAACAGACAGAGAAACUCGGGCUACACACACGCACACAAACGUGCUUGUGUGAAUUUUCUGUACACCAUUUUGAGGAAUGAAAUUUUUUGUCCGAUUGUUGUUUUGAAUAAUUGUCAGCUACGUCAGCAAGAUAGAAACGUGAAAAAGAUACAGCUGAUUCAUAUUGAAUGUGUGGCGACAAACAACAAAGAUAGGCACAACGUUAUGAUUCUGCAGCCACUUGAAACAAAAACUUAAAUAUAUAAAUGUACAUACUCAUAGUAAGCAUACAGAACUGAUAUUUGAUAAAUUUUAAAAUAAAACUAUUGUAUUACAAAUCAAUCAAUUUUAAAAUCAAUGUUGCCUUUAUUAUUCACUCAAAUUUGUUGAUAAGCAAACCCCUCCUCUCUCCUGUUUUUCAUAAAAAACUGUCUAUAAUCGAUUUUGUCUUCCAGUUUCCUGCUCCUCGAAACGUUAAUGGCAACGAUGAGGAGGAAUGGAAUACUUGAACAAGCAACAACGUCAACAGCCUGAAGUUGAAACCAAAUCUGAAUUUAAAUGUCAUAAAGUGGCUUAUAAAGAAGUUACGUCGAUCAUCUGUUCGACGAUGGUUUGUUAUUGAGUUACUGAGUGAGUCUUCACGUCUGUCCGUGUCUUUCCCAACCUCAACGCUUGGCAGCGAGUUCCGUAAAACAGCCGAUGGCCGACUCUACACAGAUCGCAGGAGCAGCGAGCAGCAGCAGCAACCACCACCGAGUCUCCCUUGCAUGACAUGAAAAUGCCAAUGCUAUAGGCAGCCGACAAAGAACAAUGGGGACAAAGGCGGCAUUGCGAGCGGCAGCAGCUCUAGCUCAUCAGCUUACGUGUGUUUGAAGCUCGUGCCAUUGUCGGUGCUGCCAUCACCGGCUACCACAACAUUUCUACAUAGAACGCUUCGCAGUCGCUGACCACCACCCACCCAUCCACACAGAUACACGGUAUUUGGUAUAUCAGCUGCGAACGAAAAAUAUUGCUUUUUGAACAGAUUUACAGCGAAACAAUACCAAGGAGUAGCAGCAAUCAUCAAGAAACUAAACACCCAAGUCAUCAAAACGUCUUCGAACCCUGCAACGCAAAGGAACUACUCAAACUCUACAUUUCAGCCAACAUCGUCAUCUUCGGAUCUUGAGGGACUUUAAUUGAAUUCUCGCAUGUAAGCCGUAUGGGAUUUUUCUUCUGAUUAACACUUGAAUUGCAGCCAUCAGUAGCCAAACGGUCUUAUUGACAUUCUUAGUGUAUGCUGCGCGCUCACUCGUCCUGUUUCAAUUGAGGAGCUUCCAUAAUCUCUUAGGAAUGUAAAAAUCGUUGGAUCUCUGCUCUUUAACCCAUGAAUUGACAUAAUAUGUUGACCCUAGCCUGUCGUACUCCAUACUCUUUACUUUCCUAACCAUUGGGCUAUUGUAAGACCGAUUUUAAUAUUUGUAGCGAUGCAUCACAGUCGAACUGUUCCUGUGAGUGUCUGGUGCCACCAAAGUUUCCUCUCCAUUCGCGCUCAAAAUUUUGGAUAUCUUUAACAGGAGAGCGGCUGCCAUCCAACUAAGAUAUUGUAUUUUUUAUACAAACUCAUACGUUACUCAGCUUGUAGUUGUAGUCUGGUAUCAAGCAUUACCUUUCGUUUACUUUUCCAGCAAUGUGAGGCAGUUGAGCGGUACCUGCGUCAGUGCGACAAUUUAAAUUGCUUUUUUGAAUGUGUCAAAAGCCUACAACAAGUCCCCGGCAGCAGCAGUCAUUGGGAUUAAUAACAAAGUGAUAUUGGUCUUUGAGCAAAACUCGAACAAAAUACUUCUUUUGUUUCAAAUUCUCUUUUAGCACAAAUGAAUGUAGCUUUUUUGAGACAGAGCCUACUGCUUAACUAUCAACUAAUGAUAGCUGGGAAAACGUAUCACCUUCGAAAACGACGAAAUGACACUUCUGAGAUUGGUAUGGGCACACAUGUUUUCGGAUAUUUUGUUCUUGUAUAUAUGUAUAGACAUUAUGUGUCUAUACCGAAUCAUUCUGAAAUCGAAGCAUUCGUCGUAUGGACGGACAGGAGUCAUUUCGCCGUCACGUAUCCGAUGUGGUGGAAGAUCCAGACACGGGACAGUUACAAAAGCUAAGACAUUGCAAUAGAAAUCAUUUCUUUCAUAUUUUGUAGAAAUGUGCCGCAGUUGAACAGUGCCUGCGCAUAUUGGUGGACUGUCCAAAAAUGACAAGCUGCAAGGAAAUUUCGCUCAAGUCUUCGAUGGGUGGUCCGCCCAGCACAUGUAAAUUAUAUUAAGUGUGUGGAACAAAAUCUUUCUUUAUUUUUGUAGAGUUGUGGUUGCAGUAGGCUUCAGGCAGAGCCAUAUGUAUACUGUCUUUUGUCACAGUAGCGCUUCGUUGGGACCCGGAAAAUAUGCGUUCUUACUAAAGGUUUCCUUUCUCACUGAAAAUCGGUUCUUAUUAAUGUAUUCAUUACAGUGCUUCUUACAAUCUAAAAUAUCCAGUCGGCAAAAUGAGCUUGGGAUGAUCCGACCACACAGCUAAACUUACACGUGCACUUUCACCUGUUUUUAAUACCUACCCGUGUACAUGAAGCAAAAUUUCUUGAGGCAAUGGGAAUCAAAUGCCAACUUGAAAGCAAUAACACCAACACUCAAUCGACCGAAAUCCACAUCUAUACAACACGUCGACUUUGCAUUGAAUUGAAGAAUCUUCCUAUCAACUAAAACAGCAAGGUCAGGUCUGUUUUACGGCUUGGGAGAAGGUGUGGCAAGGAUGGAGUGUUUUAUAGAAACAGCCGUUUGUCUCUUUGUUUGUCUGGUUGCCUGCCUUGACACAUAGGACCCUUUACAGAGUGAGAAAUUUGAGCGGUUUUAAAUUACCUUUGCUCUUCUUGCAGCGAUGUUCCACAGUUGAAUCUGCCUGUGGGCAUCGACUAGGUAGGAACGAACGAAAGGCAUCUUCUUUGGAGUGGACAAGCUAACGAGCAACCAAUCAGUAACCAGUUGCUCUACCCACCGCUCUUAACAAGUCUUGAGUCUGCGGCUAUUGCUCUGUUGCUGCAAAUCGUUAAAGGGAAUCAAGAACGAUGCAUCAAGUCCAUUUAGGCUUCUACGAAUCAAGCAUGCUACCGCCACAUCGACAACUGCCUGCUAAUGAUAAUGCUAUGCACCAAACGAGCAGAAUACAUCGAGAGAACAUCGAGUAUAGCAACAAAACGCAAGCAACCUAACGAGACCGUCGGGCGCCUAUUUUAAAAUUAGAUGUAAACUUAACGUUUCUACAUUACAGGCAAGUUGUCUGCCCGAAAUGGGUCGCUUGUGUCUUUUACAAUCAACGCUCGGACUAGACUAGGCCAAGUUCAAGAUAGCCGACUGCCGCCUGUCGCUGUCCAAAGCAUGGGCGUCAAGAGCAACCUGGAGACAGUCCUGCGAGCGAUGUGCUAGCCUAAGCACGUAAUGCAAUUGGCACCGCACAGAGAUGUGCGUUCGGUCCACGCUAAAGGGAAACAAAUGCGUUUGGACCGAGAGCCGCUACACCGCACCAUCACCAGCAUUCGCUGAAGAAGUGAGCUGAUGUGUUGUCGUUGUUACAGGGCUGCUGCCUGCAAGUACGCUACGGGCAUCCUAGCGUCGUCGUCGCUAAUUAAUCGUCACUUUCAGCGUUUGUUUGAAUAACAUCCGGACAGAUCAGCAGCUAACGACGUGUAGCCAGUCGUUUAUCGCAAACGGGAACCAAUUGCGAUUAGUGUUCAAGCAUCCGAAACAGAAGAAAUGCAGCAGCCACAGUUCAAGACUGUCAAAAUCGGUCAGCAAAAACAGCCUAUAUGAACUGUACGCAGACUUACAGAUCACAGGAGAGAUGAAACCACUUUGCAACGGGCUGUCGCUUCAUUUGUCCUUUCCUCCCCUAGGUAGUCCAGAAUAAGAGGUACCCAUAUUCAUCGCAAAAGGGAAUCAAAUGCGAUUAGUGUUCGAAGACCGAGCUAGCCAGUAAUUGCAAUGCUACGCUCUACCAGUUGAGUCCUUAACUCCUGGCUCGACGAUCCAACAUACCGCAAAAGGGAAACAAAUGCGAGAUGGUAUCACAGUCGAACUCCCCGUUGAGCUCCUGGUAAAACUCUUAAUUUCUUCAGCACAGCAAUCGUAAAGGGAAUCCAAUGCGAUGUACAGCGACAGCGGCAGGCAGGGUCCCAAAGCCCUAAAGGUAUAAUAGCAGUGUUGUUGGUGUAUAUACACUUUCCUGGAACGGCAAAUACCCCCAUUUCAGUCAGAAAUAUUGUUCCACCAGGUCCAGAUCCAGGGCUGUGGCCUGGCCCACUUACAUAUAUUGACGCGCCUUCCUGCAAACUCGUCACUUUGGUCUCAAAGGGAAUCCAAGAGACACGCGCCCGCGGUACAGGCAACUUAAACACGCUCUUCCUUUGUUUUAGUUUCCUUCAAAGUUAUUAUUACAGCUACUCGUGAUACUCAUUGCAUUUGUAAUGAAAUUGUUAGCUAUCAUAUUAUGUUGUCUUUAUAUACUCUGCGUAGAUAAUGUUAAUGUUAUGUUGCUUUAAAAUUUUAUUUAAAUGUAAGAUAUGUUAUAUUGUGACAUGUAAAUUUAAAAGCCAAAGCAGACUUACCCUGAAGAGUGCAUCCGGACGUCCUUCCCAAGGGCUUCGGGAGCUGUCCAUGUUACACCUAGACGUACCAGUUGUGGCCGCAGAGAUCAUUUCCACGACUUUUAGAGCGAGAUCCAUGACAGUGAGGAGUGGGAUCAGCGUACAGAGGACAUACUUUUUCGAUAUUUUGAUACAUUCGACCUUCUACUAACUUCGAGGCAUAUUCAUUGGGCUCUUUGAAUCAUCUAAUCGCAUCCUAUGAGCACUCAAAAGAAGCCGUACACGCUAUUGAUAAUUUUCGCUACGAGAACCGGUUGAGAUAUUUCUGGGAGCCUCCUGCUGUUCAAUUCGACAUCGCCAAUAGCUUCUGCUAUCGCUUUCUGGAGCAGCAUAGGAACUGGUCUGAGAUCUCAGAUGCUGGCCAAAAAUCAUUAUUCUGACCACUUCCAUCGACCUGCACAAGUUAUUUCCUUCUUCGUACCACUGGCUUGUUGACACUCUGCUUUUAAACUGAUGUCAAGCUUAAACCGUUUUUCAACAUUUGCCUUUUCUUCGCACUGCUGCAGUUGGACACGGUGAUCGUCAUUGCCAUUACCGUUGGCUGUAGAAUUAAAUUAUCGUUUCGCUACUAGUAGCUUAACUAAUGUCUUUGACGCUCAACUUUGCUUGUGAGGAGAUUAGGAGAUUUUUCGUGGAUUGCAAGUUGAAUUAAUUUUGGAUAUUGACUGCAGCGUGGGAUUCAAUAUGAUUGUGACAUUUCCGACGGCGGCGAUGGAUGCAAGCUUCAGGACUGCGGCGUGGGAUAACAGUCAAGCUACGUGGGACUAAUAGGGCAUUUAGGCAAGGUCGUUAGGGAACUGUUUUUUCGAUCGUGAAAAGUUGAAGCAACUGGGAACACAUUUUGACGGCGGCGUGGGAACCAGCAAGCACUUAUACAGAUGACUUCAGCGGCGUGGGAGCUGGUCAGUUUAUGACUGCGGCGUGGGAAAGGAUGGCGGAUUGACAGCGGCGUGGGAACUGAGGGUAGAUUGACAGCGGCGUGGGAACUGUGGGCGGAUUGACGGCGGCGUGGGAUGCGGUUACUGACGGCGGCGGGGGAGAACUGGACUGCAGCACGGGAGCAUCUGACGGCGGCGGGGGAUCCUCUUCGGAUUAGAAUCAUCGGUGGUUUUCCAAAAAUAUUGGCACAACGUAAACUUAGGAAAUCACAAUAUACUUUAUUUGAUGGUUCAAAGCUGAUAUACUUGAUGAUGCCGUGAUCACCGUCCCAAAAAAAACCCACACCCCUGACAAAGCCCUUUUAUGGAAAUUUCAUCAUUUCUACACAAUUACAUUUUAUUUUACACUUCUGGAAUACCGGAAAGCAACCAACAUACAUAUUUAUACCGAUGGUCCAAUUAAUUCAACGCUGCAACGAGAGUGGCGAAAUAAAUUGUUUUUUGAAAAAAAUUAAAAUAAUAGUGGCCUUAUUAGUUUGAAGGUUUGGGUUUUGAAAGGUUUGGGGGUCGUCUUGGUUUAAUACACCAGAUUAGCGUAUGGACUAGAGGGGUUUGGCUUGUCUCCUCGUGCUAUUGGUAGACUCGUGAAAUUGCGAGAUGAGGCGACAGAAGCCAACGAGCUAUUGUGGUAGCUCCCUACGUGAUGCCAGCCGGAUGAUGAGUUACCGACACGAGUAUGAUUGUCCGCUAGAAAAGUGCUGGAUGGGGAUCCUUCCCAUAUAGAUGAAGACGGAACAUGUCUCGGAACUUCGCUCGACUGAAGUCCACUUAGAUGAUGUAAAGGUUCCGAAGUGUAGUAGGUCUUAUGAGUGUACAACCAUGUUUGAUUGUGAACAGGAGCCUGGGAGGACUUUCCCAAGUCAGGCUGAAAAUUUUGUGAUGUCCACGUUUGGUUUUCUAUCCGAGCGGGUAGGGUAACAUUUUUUGGAAACGAUGCACUCGAUGUAUAAUUCAAUCUACCAACUUGGCCAAACAAUGUGUGAUUCGAUCCCGCAAGGUGUGUAUGAGCUGGCGUAAUGCGAGUCAUGUUCGAUCUUUGAUGUUUUUGCGUAAGGACUCGAGCUAGAACCAUGCCUUGAAGUUGGACGUGGCCAAGUACCAAAGCUGAGUUAGAAGAAGAUGUUAGAAGUAAAAAAACCUCAAACGUAAGCAUUUUCGUACCAAAGGUCAAUGCGAAUUGAUAAGAUGCUGGCAUCCUCAUAUGUGUGCUCGCUGAGAAAAUUAGAGUCGAACUGUCUGCUGCUAGGGAUUUCAGUGAUUUUUAUAGCCGAUGAUGUACA
rnacentral:lncRNA from 1 species